rnacentral:rRNA from 1 species
GUUAAAAAGCUCGUAGUUGAACCUUGGUCCCGCGCCCGCCGGUCCGCCUCACCGCGUGCACUGGUGCGGCCGGGGCUUUCUCCUGGGGGUCCGCAUGCCCUUAGCUGGGCGUGCGAGGAACCAGGGCGAUUACUGUGAAAAAAUUAGAGUGUUCAAAGCAGGCCUAUGCUCGGAUACAUUAGCAUGGAAUAAUGGAAUAGGACGCGCAGUUCUAUUUUGUUGGUUAUGGGACCGCCGUAAUGAUUGAUAGGGACAGUCGGGGGCAUCAGUAUUCGGCAGUCAGAGGUGAAAUUCUUGGAUCUGCCGAAGACUAACUACUGCGAAAGCAUUUGCCAAGGAUGUUUUCAUUAAUCAGGAACGAAAGUUAGGGGAUCGAAGACGAUCAGAUACCGUCGUAGUCUUAACCAUAAACUAUGCCGACUAGGGAUCGGACGAUGUUACUUACUGACUCGUUCGGCACCUUGUGAGAAAUCAAAGUCUGUGGGUUCCUGGGGAAGUAUGGUGGNCAACGCUGAAACUUAAAGAAAUUGACGGAAGGGNCACCACCAGGGGUGGAGCCUGCGGCUUAAUUUGACUCAACACGGGGAAACUCCCCNAGUCCAGACCNAUNAAGGAUUGACAGAUUGAG